GGGCGUCUGUGAUGAUCACCGUUACCUACAUUGUUUGACCCUCAUGAGAACAGCUCUGGCUGAGACGCCA